CCAGGUCACGGGUUUAAGCAGCCCACCAGGUCACGGGUUUAAGCAGCCUCUCCGUACUUUGAGAAAGCUUGACUGGGUUUAUCCCUUCUCUAGACCCUACGUCAAUAGGUCUGCCCUUUGGAGAGAAAUUAGUGAGCCAAGUUACCCAGCAAAAUUGUUUAGCACAAUGCCUACACCUCUUCUUUUUUGUUUGAUUUAUAUAAGGAACAGAAUAGAGGGGAUGUUUUUAAGAGGGUCCAAUAUUCAUUAUAAAAGUCCCAGCAGACUGAUUCAACAAAAAUGGAUUGUUGUUGUUCCAGAAGGUGAUUCAACAAAAAAUGCAACCAUCAAUUCAAAAUGGGCAAAGUAGUGUCCUCAGCAAAAAUAAAAAUGAACAGUAAACCAUUGUAACAACUACAACCAGGCUGAAAAUUUGCUCAAGCAAAAGCUUCACCCUCUGUACCAGGUCCAUCCAUGAGCUCAAUUCAAAUAAAAUCAACCCCUUCUAUUCAAAUAUGUUGUGCAAUGCAACAGUGCAAUUUGAUCGUCAAAGCUGCGCCGUUGUCAGCGUUCUAACCCCUUCAAAGAAAUCAAUCCCAAAUAUCGGACGAUGAUUGACCCAUUUUCACUAACAUGCCCAAUUCGUCAUAACAAACACAGAAUUGCAGCAAUAAUUACGCAUCACGUCAAAACGUCGACUCUGCUGAGAAAUCCCUGUGUUUCAAACCCAAAACGACCGAGGCACACUGGAUCAAGCUACCAAGUCGAGAUCUGCCGCACACAAAAUGAUCCAAAUCCGCCAUAGCUCCGUCACAACCACCCAGACUCCGACAACGGACCGAAUCCUUCCAUUCGACACACCCAAAUCCAACUGACGACGUAGGACCGACCGAGAUCCCAAGAAACACGAAACAUUGCCUCGACGGGGCCGGAUCAGGGAGGCCUCGUGGGCAGAGGAGCGAAGAGCGAGGGACGCCACCUGUUUGCGGAACAUGGGGGAA
rnacentral:misc_RNA from 1 species